CCCUGUUUGUCCUCCUCCUAAUUGUUCAUUUGAGAACUCACCUGCCUUUUGUUUACACCUUCCUUUGUGAUUUGUUCUCAGAUUAACAGGGGCAGCUGCACAGUUUUUACGUCUAUUAGUUCUUUGCAGUGGAUCAGGCAAAAUAUUAACCUGUACUGUUCUCCCCCAAAAAAUCAAGUGAACUGCAAUAGACUCUUUCUCUCACAGUUCAGAAAAAAGAAGUAUUUUAAUUUUUGAUAGUCACUGCAGGCAAGAAUUUUUGUGUGUCUAGAUGUGUCUGCUAUAAGUACAGGAUGAGCAUUAGAAUCGGGACAUAUGAAACUAGCUUGCUCUUUCUGCCAAUAUGUAUGAACUUAUAUUUGCAAGAACUUGAGUGUGAAAUUCAAAUCCAAAUUCAGGUCUCAGCCCUGCAAUGCCAUGAGCUCAGUGGGACUGUAUGCAUGCACUCAGUAUUUCCUGAGCAUAAAUCGUUCCAAGGUGUUGUGGUUCUCAGCUCAAUAAUUCUUUGAAUUUAUCUACCAGAUGUAGUUUGGUCCUCCUUAGAUCUGCUAAUCAAGUGGCUUCUUUCUUGAUUUGAGUGAUUUACAAACUUCUGUAAUUUCUCUGUUAUUGAGCUUUCUGCCUGUUUACAUUUUACUGCUGAUUGAUUGGUUGUUGCCAUAUCCUUAAUGGGGAGCCAGCUUUCCUGCAAUUUUCUUUAUUAUUGUCUCUAAUGUGGGACUUUCUUCCUACUAAUACUUUCCAAAAAUGUGUUUUCUUUUUUUGAGCUUCUUGGUAGAUAAGAGAGAGAGAGGAAUGGAUAUGAAAUGCCAUAGAUUAAGUAACCUCCCAUGAGACCUGUUAUUCAUACCAAAUUUCAGUUCUUUUCAUAGAAUAGUUUGGGUUGGAAGGGACCUUUCAGAUCAUCUAGUGCUUUUACUGAUUUUAGGUUGUUAUGUUUCAGUUAUUCAAACCUGAAGCUUUAAGACCUUUACUGAGCAAGAAGGUGAAUGGUCACAAUGACAGCUAAAGCCAAAGAUCUCUGCAAGUGCUUCAGGUUUUAUUUCGGAAUUGGACAAGAUGUUCAGAACAGGAACAUCAAUGGGGAAAGAGUUAAUUUCUGUGCAAUUCUGUAUUUGCCUCACAUUUUGCAAAGGCACACUAGUAUUCAUCAUUCUCCUCACUCUAACAGUCUGACUGAAUGGUUUUCUGGGUUUGUUUACAUUGCUCAUCUUUGCUAGUCUCUGGCCAUUUCAGUUUUUAACAGUCCUCUCAACCUUUCAUUGUUUUCUCUAUUGAUGUGGUGACUCUUUUCACAUCUGGGGUUGCUGAAACAACACAAGGAAUGGGUUCUACUCUCUUUCCAAGCCAAUGUGGCAAUGGUCUCCAUACAUGGCCUUAGUGAAACCUUCUCCACUGUGUGAGCUGCAGCCUGGGCUCAUUCCAGCCUCCAUUCCACUGCAGGUUCUAAUACUGCAUCACUUCUUUGAACAUCUGAAGCUGUUUAUAUUAAUAAAUUGAUUAUAAACACAGUACACUGUUUGAUCCUCCAUGUGCUUUUGAUGCUAAUUCUACUUUAAUUUAUUUAUUUGUUAAUAUAAAUACCUUAAAUAAAUUUAGUUUCCUAUGAUAGCAUGUAUUUGCUUCAGUGGAUUAUGCCCUAUUCUCUAAGUUCAAUAUGAGUUUUCUCUCCUGUCCAGAGUCUGUCAGAGAUGCAGGGCAUUUGAUUUCUUUCUCUUGGGAGGAAGAUUCAAAAUCUACUGUAGGACUGACUUCAAAGAGUUUCUUCCAGUGCAGCCUCUGUGGAAAUUUAGCCUACUUAUGCCAGCAAAUCUACGACCGACUGUGUCACAGUGUCUUAUCUGCUGGAGUCCACAAAGCAUUUGAUAAUCUUCUUCAAAAACAAUGCAUUUAGGUGUUUCAUUUCCAAAGAAGAAGUGAGGAAAACAUAAUUAUUGGAAUCCAGUUAAAAAAUCACCACCAACAAAAAACUACCACCACCACCAAAAAACUACCACCACCACCAAAAAACUACCAACCACCACCAAAACAGGACGUUUCUUCUUUCUUAUUUUUUAUUUUCAAAUCAGCCUAAAAACGUUCUCUCACUGAUGUGGUAGUGUACCUUUGUGCACCAGGUCAAUGUUUCUUCUGGAAAUAUCUGGUAAUUGCUUUUGAGCUGUAAGCUCUCUUGAGCAGCCUAGCUCAGGAGAACUCCUCAAGGGUAUUUCAAUUGCUCAGAUCCACUUAGAUGUGGUAAGUUUCUGUGAAUCUUUGGGCUUUCUUCCAGAAGAAAUGGGUCUGACUGGAAGACUCUCUCUGCUGCAAGAAAAUCUAAGCAGCAUUCUUUGAGAUGCAGGCACUCCUAAAAUGAGAGCAAAGUAAAGCUACCAGUCAUCAGCUAGAAAAAGGACGAAAGGAGAAAAGAAAUGAAAACACAGAGGCUGUAGUUGAUAAUUAAUAUGUAAGUCUCUACAGAGUCCACAUAGCCUUUGUAGUAUCUGGAGAGAAAGAGAUGUCAACAAGAUCAUAAAUAUUCUCCUGUACUUCCAUCAGAAGAUAGUUUAGGCUUCACCUCUUCAAAUAUUUGUUCACAUAUUUAAUCUUACUGACUUUUCAAAUGGUAAAAUUUAACAUGUAGGCCUACCUACGCAAGAACAAGUGCACUUUUUUUUUUUUUUUUUCCAAAGUGCAUGUCAGCCAAACUAAGCUGCAGCAAAAAAAUCUGGGAAUGUUUCCAAACCAUUGUGUGUAGGCUUGCUGGAGGGGUUCCUGAAUUGCAUCUCUCUCAGAGUUAGUUGAUACUCUUGAGUAUCAGAAGUGUGAUGGAUACACAUGGUUUUAUUUGAGUUAUCUCAAGUGCUUUACAGUGAGCCAAAUUUCCAUUUGCCAGUAACUGAGUUUUCAAGGGGGAAAAAAACAUCUUGCCCAGUUGUGACAAAAUAUAGAAAUUACACUUGUCUGAGGGAAAAAUGAAAUCUGUUUUGAUUAAGAAACUAAAGUAUUUUGGAGGGAGGUAGAGCAGAAGCAGGAUGAUCGUUUGAGUGUAAUGUUUAGAUUUUGUGGGUCCACAAAUAUAUUUCUAAUGAAAUAUGUCUGCAUGAAAUUUUCCAUAAUGGCUAUCUGCCUUGGGUGGAAUAUUUCUGGAAAAAACUUUCAAGACAGAAUAGUUAAGCCACUUUUAAAAAACACUUUUAAGAGAAAAGAUAUUUUUCUGAGUAAAAAGCAAAAAACCCUCAACCACUCAAUGAGUUGGUUGGGGAAGUAUUGGGCCUCUGUAGCUCUGAAAUGGCAUCCUGAAGCAUAGUAUGCUUUUUUCUCUUUUAAGGAAUUAUCUUUUUGCCUUCUUUUCCACUGGACAAGUUGGCUGGUGUUAGCCAAUGUGAACAUUUUGAAAAACCUCUUUACAUGUGCUCUACUGAGACUUGUUAAGGUUUGGCAGCUAAAUUCUUAGAAAAUAGGGAAAAGGGACAAAGGAGGAAAAAAAAAAGAAAAAAAAAGAAGGAAAAAAAAAAAGGAGAAAAGGUAGAAAUGGAAGAAAAAGAGAAAAAUUUGGAAAAAAAAAAUCUGUUGAUAGCAGAUGGGCACUAUCUCCAGGGUGCCUUGCUUAAAUCAAGAUUUUCUCAGGUGCAUUUUUCCCAGUUGAAGGGAGCUACCCUGCUGCCUGGAGCCCUUGUGGGAGCAGGCAAGUUCUUCAAGAUGCUUUUCUCUGUGACAGAUAACAAAGAGCGUAAAUGGGAAAACUUAUGGAACUCUUUAUAAAAACUUACAGAACUCUAGAAGCACUAAAACAGCCAAACUGCAGAAGAAAUGCAAAUAGGAAUUCAGUUCAUUGUUUCUCCCUCAACAAGUUCCUACAUGUACCUAUUGCCACAGAAUGGAGACUUCCUUCUUGUGUCCUUGCCCAGGAAAAAAAAAAAAAAGAAAAAAAAAAAGAAAGAAAGAAACUAAAAAUGCUCCUACAUUAAGUUUAGGACAAAAGGAAAUACAUUGUGCAUAGAGAGGCUGGUGCUUGCUUGAAUUCCUGUGCCAAAUGAAGACUGGCAAUUUUUCAAUGAUUUAAAUCAUGGCCAAGAUUUCUCUGUCAGCAAUCAAAUAUUGGCCUUUUAAUCCUUUGGAAAGUUAGUUUUAUUUGCUUUCUCACACCCAGGAGUUUUUAGGACAGCUUUGUGCUGUACCAUCAUCCAUGUUGUGAACCCAUUGGGCCCAUGGUAUAUUGUCCCGCUAUUUACAGCAGUACGAGGAAAAGGGGAAAGAAUACUGUCUUAAGAGGGUGAAGAUGUGUUUCAGACAUUAACUACGCAUGAACAGUUUACAACAAGCAGAAAGCAACAGAGAAUUAAGAAGCAUUUUUCUCCUAAGGAGGUCUUCCUCCCUCACUAAGAUACUGCCUAUUCUCAUGGAGCAUCGCUGCAGGGAGAUGACACCCCAUGUCUUCGUUCAAACAGCAUAGGUGAAUAACAUAGUUUUUUUGUUUAUUGGCUCAAAUCUGAAAAGUGAGUGGGGAGCAUGAGGAGUCGAGUAGAAGAGAUACUAUUCAAUUAAGCUAAAUUCAAAACCUUUUAUUUAAAUUGUGAGAUCUUUAACUUCUUUUUCUUGUUAGCUGGAUAAUUUUAAAACAGAAUAAUGGUGUUUUGAAAGGAAAAUUAAAAAAAUCAUUUAUAAAAUAAAAUUAAAUGAACAUUUCAGCUUUUCCAGACAAGCCUUCCAAUUUAAAAAAUGCCAAAAUGGAAAUGUCAAAAUGGAAAUGUCAAAUUGUCUUUUCUUUUUCUAUAACUUUUUAGUCUCUUCCCCAUCAUGUUGGUGAAUCAUGAAGUUUUUUUCCCUUUAAAUUUCCUGAGACAGAAACAUACCACAAGGACUUGGUCCAGCUAAAAAACUCAGUAGCCAUUUUCUGUGUAGAGGUUGCAAAAUGUGGGGUAUAUUCUUUACAUUUUAGCCUCUGUAUAUCACAGACCAGUGUGGUUUGUAUAUAAUUCAACCUUCUCUUGCCACAAGACACUGAGAAGAGGUUUGACUGGCUGCUCUGACUGCAUGUUUCCUCUGUUAUCACUCCAUUCUUCCCCACAGAGUGUAUGUUUGUUUUGGGGUUAUUUGGUUUAGGGUAUUUGUUUUAUCAUAUCUGGAAACUAUAACCUUUGAAAAACCUCUACCUACAAAAGAUGAGCCCAAUAAUGUAUUUUUAUGCCCAUUCAUUUGCAUCCAUCUUGGGGAAUAUAUAAAAAUAUCUGCUUUCUGCCCACCAGAAAUUCCUGUUCUGUGACAUGCUCUUCUCCAAGAUCCUCUCAGCUUUAUCCAAAUAAGUUUAAUUUCUAGCUACCAUUCUUCUUGUAUAUGGAAAGCCCCUCAAGUGUCUUACCAUGACUACUACUGUUUGCUGUAUCAGUUCCACGCGCUAAUAUGAUUUCCUGCAAGAAGAGAUGAAUAUAUUAGAUCUGCAGUGAAAUCAUAGAGGGGUGGUGGAAUAGAAAGCCUGACCAGUGUUUUUAAAGAGAAUAAUCUCAAUGAAAGAUGCUAAAUUGGUUCCAUGAUAUGAAUGUAAGUUGUACAGUCUUGCUCUAGCACAGGCUCCUGACUUUCUCUUUGGUUUUCUGGCUGGCAACGGAUAUCGUUGCUGCCACCUGUUUGAAGACAAUUGUGCAACUGGGACCGUGGAAUGAUGUCCAGUUGCCUUUUUUAGAAUAUGAAUAGGGCCUUUGAGUUUGGCUGCGCUGAGCAGUUUGAGGCUGAAUCACUCUGUAGACUUGCCAGAGAAAGCGUUUAGCCUAUGGACAUGAGCCAAAGCCCACUGAAUCUCACAGCAAGGCUCUUCUUAGCUUCGGUGGGCUCUGGCUCAAACUCUAUAUGAAUGAGAAUUUCUUCUCGGGAAUUAAAUAAAAUUCCUUAUUUUUAGUUCCUCUUUUUAUUUUCCCAUAGAUUCUCACCUGUACUUUUCCAUUUGAACCACUACCUCUUUGCUCCACUCAUCCCUGCUCUGGAGCUAGAGUGUUAGGAAUGAUGGCAACACAGGUGCUCAGUCAUGAAUAAGGCAGGUACAAGGAGCCGUCUCAGAGCUCAGCUGCCUGAACUGCACUGUACCCACUGUCCACUUUUACUUACUUUUCAUUUCUGAAUGUGUGCUAUUUUGAAAUGCCUCUAAUGCUGUUGGACCCUGAGCUAUUUUGGACAUGAGCAUGUCAUUUCCCCUCUGCUGCAAUCACAGUUGGAUCCUGCAGGCAUUUCCCAUAACAGGCCUCAGUUAUCAACAGCAAGAGUUUUAGUGUAUUUCCCUUUGCAAAGACUUUUCUUGCCAGAUGGGAGUUGUUAGUUGUUUAUAUCAGGCUAUGAGUAAUGCCCUUUCACUAGCACUGUACACAAUGUUUUUUUUUUUUUUUUUUUUGACAUUUAUUCCUUCUGUUGUUAUACAAUGUUAGCUUUGCAAGUUAUAAAGAACAACCUUUUUCCCUCAGGUGUCCUUUUGUGUGCUUUUUGCUCUUUUUUUUUUUUUCUUCAGAUUUUCUCUUCCAAUUUUGAAGGUAAAAUGAAUGUAUAAAAAUAGAAAAAAGAACAACAAACCUUCCAAGUCUCCUACUCACUGCUGUGAAUAGAUCCUAGACAUAGAUUUGUGAACCCAUUUGUGGGCUUCUCAACUUCCAUUUCUUCUUGAACCUCCUUUAUGUCUGUAACAGGACUACUAUUUCAUUCUGUUUUCCUUGACACUGUUGGACACAACCUAAAUACCUAAAUUUCACCAUCUCCAAGCUCUUCCAUUACAUGGUGGGAUGAAUCUUUUCUCUGCAGACCUCACUCUAUUACCAUCCAUACAGUAAGACCUUACAUUAUGGGUCAUUGAGUAUUUUCUGUGAGAGGAGCCCUCAACUCGUGCUUAUUCUGAGUUUUGACUCUAGGUGUUUGGACAGUCAGCCUGAAGUCUUGAUCAAGAAGAUUUUUUUUUGUGAUAACUUUAGCAUCUCUCAUGCUCUUUCACUUCAGAGAUAGAUAGAUAUUAUUUAAUCAUUCCAUCUGCUUGCUUCCCUAAAUGGUUCAGGAUCCCUUUAGAUCUGCUAAGAAGAUGGGUCUGUUUGAGCUAUCAGACUAAGACCUUUUUUAACAUUACAAACCUGAAAAUAUUUUCCAUGCCCCACUGUACUGAAUUAGAACCUCCACGACUUGUUCCUACAUGCUUGAACUAUCUUUUACAGGCUUCUAAGAAGUAGCCUUUAACAACAAUAAAGCCCUUUAACCGUAAAUAUAUGGGUAACAUCUGUACUCUGCACUUUACAGUGGUAGUAAUUUAGGAGAAACUCGGCAGAACUUCUAAUCUGAUCCUAAUUAUAAGGUUGCCCUUUUGCUUUUAGUCACUGCUUUGGAGUGUCCAGCACUUAGGAGUGUGGAAGUUCUUUGUAAGAAUGCACAAGGAAAUAAAUAACUGCUGUUAAAACUCUGUGUUCUCUCUAGCAAUAACUCAACCAUGGAAAAAAAUAAAGGAAGAAUGUACCCUCAGGUAUACUUUCCUUGAUGCAUAUAAAUUCAAGUCCCAUGAAAAUGUUUAUCUGUAAAUAAGCAGCUUGGUUUAGUCUUAUUUCUCAAGAUUAUCUGGUUGUGAGUUAGAGUCUGCACUCGGUAAUAAGUGAAAAACAAGUUUGAUCACUGGAAUUCUGUUAUUUUCAUCUGCAAUAUUAUGCAAGAUCAAGGUAACAAAUUUUGUUGCCAGCUGGAGCUGCAGGGUAACAGGUUGCUGCUGGUUUUCCCUGUAGACAACAGUAAAGAACACAUUUUAUGUCAAAGUAAUUGCACUAACAGGUGCCGUUGAGCAACUGUGUUUUGGUUGCGACACUCUUGUGGCUCAGCACUUACCACAAAUGUUUAUAUAAAAAAAAUUCAGUUCUGCUUUUAAAUUCCUAUUCAAACUGACAAGAAGGAAUAGGGUAAACAAGAGUGAAGCAAUAGCUACAGUUGAAAAACUAGAAAGUCCCUUUCCGACUUCUGGUGGUUGAAUGCUGCUUUCCUAUCAAAAGUCCUUCCUUGGGCAUUUAUCACAGAGACUGUUAGCAUACUUCCAGGGCGGGCAACAUGAAGACCUGUAAGAACUGAGUGAGAUUCUUGCAGUGGGAUACAUGGUGAUGUGAUUAUGUCACAUAUUUGGGGGAUAAUGUAAUUUCAGGCUCCAAAUACAAGACACUGCUGCCCAAGCAGUGGGCUCUCUCCCUCUUGCCUUUGUUGUGUACCCAGCUGCAGAGCAGUGCGUGCCAGAGAUGAAAGCUUCAUGUGAGAUGCCCCAAGGGUGUGUUUACAAUGUUGUAGGUAUAUAUAGUGAUGCAAUGCCACUGAUAUAAAUCUCCUAAAGAUGGACUAAAGAUGGGAAAAGUGGCUUUAGCUAUAUCAGUGUCCCCAUAAAACCAAAUUGUAUCUUAUGCUAACUUGGGUAUCAAUUCCAAAAUUCUUUCUUUCUUUCUUUCUUUCUUUCUUUCUUUCUUUCUUUCUUUCUUUCUUUCUUUCUUUCUUUCUUUCUUUCUUUCUUUCUUUCUUUCUUUCUUUCUUUCUUUCUUUCUUUCUAUCUGUCUAUCUAUCUAUCUAUCUAUCUAUUUUUACGCCAAAUAUUUAUGCCUGCAGUCUGCAGCGUUCUUUGAAUCUAAAAGAAUCAGCUCUUCCUAACAAAAUAUGCUGAGAACAGUCUGGAGGUUGUACCUUCACCUCUCCUUCUAGAUACAUCUCAUGCCCACAGACUCCAUGCCUUUUUGGUUUGCCUUAGCAUUUCUCAUAUAUUCUUUUCUGGUUUUAGUAUGGAUAGAUGAUUUCUGUGAGGACUGCAAUAUUUGACAAGACCCAUUCUUUCUUCAAUCUCUGUUUUCUCAAUCUUUUCCUUCUUGGAGACAUUGUCUUUGCUUACUUGUGGACUUUCUCCAAAUCUUCCAAUUGUUUCCUUUCCUCCACAUAUACCCACCAGGCUUAUUUCUCUGCAAGUUAUUUCUCUGGACUUACAGUCCAGCUACUGUAUCUUAAUUAACUGUUCAUCAUUACUGCAGCAAAUGUAUACAUGCAUGUUCAGUGCCACAGCCAAGGCAAGAGCAUGCACAGCUGUAUAAACAUCGGUGAAUGUGGGCUAAGAUAAUUCACGUUACUUCACAUUCUGUAUGGUUGAAGAGUGUCCGUGGUGAUCAAGGAAGACUGAACCCUAUAUACAACUCAUCCUGUGUUUUGGCAUCCUAAGACUUCCCUGUUCUCAUUCCCUUCACCUCCAAUUCAUUUUGAUUGUGAUUAGUAAUUUUUUUUUUUCUUUUGUACUGGUGUAGUCCCACUGCCAACAGUGCUAUGCCAUAAAUUGCAUGAUCCCACUCCAAGCUCCUUUGCUUCCACUUUUAUGAGAAUGAAAAACACUUCAAUGGUAUGGAGAGAUAUUUACAGUUCAUGCACUCUUUUUACUUUGUUUUCCCAUGGAAGUAUCCCUAAAGUUUUGCUAACAGUUAUUUGCAUGGAUGGAAGGCCUCCAUCUUAGUUUGGAGGCCUCCUCUUAGUUUGGUUUGCUCAGUGCCUUUAAUUGAUGUUACAAAUAGAUUCCCAUUGUUUAGUGAAGAACACAGGGUGUUGGGUUAUUUUUGUUGUUUUUUUUUUUUCCCAUAAAGUCUCUUUCUUACACGAUGCCCAUGCUAUAAGUGUCAGUAGCAUUUGCAUUUUUCACUCUCCAUAUCCCUUUUUUGUAAACAGCCUGAUGAAACCACUGAAGUUGGCACAUGUUUUAACUGAAUAGCCGCAGUGUUGUGCUGCCAUGCAAUGCUUUCCCCAUCCUCUUUCCCCACCCCAGAUGUCAUAUUCCCUUACAUGGACAUGUCCAAAAUGUGGUGAACCACUCCUGGCAGAGAGUUGGGCUACAGAUGGGAAGCAAAUGAGGACAACCUUCUCCAAGGGCAAAGCUGCUGUAGUCAAGGGGCUUUGUCUUUGUGACUCCCCAAAAGCUUUCAGGACAAUUUCAGCCUACAAAGACAUAUUUCGUCUUGGUCAUUUUUUGGGCACUUGAUUACAUAUAGUAAGAUUUUUGUUUUUAUGUGUGAUACAACUUUUUGUUGUUGUUGUUGUUGUUGUUGUUGUUGUUGUUCUAGGAACUCCUCAUUGUCGUCCGUUCCAGAGGGGAAAUCCAAAAAAUUUAGAUUUACUGGCAAUGUUAGAAGACAUUUGGGUAAAACUGGAGUUUAUCUGAAGUGGUUAUCUGAACUAGAUGAGAAGAAAGCAUACAGAUAUGAUAAUAAAAUACCAAAUUUCAUGUAAGGAUUCUGAGGGAUCUGGAUGUGAGUCUCAAACUUUUGAGAUGUGAGACUAUGUGGUUACAAAGUAAAAAAGGAUGGUGCACCUGGGAUCGAUAAAUCUUUUCAAUUUGUUAUUGCAUUUCCCUGAAAUGAGAGGGUUUGUUCUCUGCAGGGUGACAUGGAAGCUGCCAUCUCAUUGUAGAGCACCAUGGGCAGAGACAAACUGCUCUUUUUGAUGAGUUGCUGGCUGUUCUCUCUGCCACUCACUUGGCACGGUAGAAAAAAACCCAGCCUGAUAGAAGGGCAGCAUUUUGUCUAUUAUUUUGUUAAGACAAAUUACCUGCAAACUGUAACUCAGCAGUCUUGCUGAAAAUGCAGGUGAAAAACAGGAGGCGAUUUACUUCAGUGAAGUUGAAGGAGAACUCUGACUUCCUGCAGCAGGAAACCACCUCCUACUGAAGGAAGCUUGGAGGGCAACAUCUAACCCAGAUCAGGACUUCUGGUGGUCAGAAAGUGUUUUUAAGGGGGAAGGAAGGUGAGGGAGGGAGCAAAGCAGGGCUGAGUCUGGCACACAUGGCUGCUUUUUGUGUGGUACCAGCUCUGGGUUUCUCUAGGUGUGAGCAGGGCUGGGUGGGACAUGGGCUACCCGUGCAAGGGGUUACUUGCUCAACUUAUAAAACUGCUUCAGAUGACACCCUGGGCAGCAUGGCACACUGGUGCCACCCCUCCUGCUUCACAGCAUGGCUGCAGGGUUGCUGUGUGCUCCUGAAUGCUCACUUCCCGUGUAAGGCUUUCUAUCACAACCAAAAACUACCAGAAGGGAGAAAAGCUCUUUUCUUUUUGGUUAAAAAAAAAAAAAAAAAAAAAAAAAAAAGAUCUAGGUAUGCAGCAUCUUACUGAUUCUUUCACAAAAAUCCAAUGGAAAACAGCUUCUCUAGCCAAGAGUUUGCCACCUGAGGUGAAAUCCAACUGAAAACUCUUUUAUGGAGAGCAGAGAUCACCUCACCUGUCUUUAACUACUGCUCUUAUUUAUGAUCAGACUGCUCCAUAAAUAAAUAAAUAAAUAAAUAAAUAAAAAGAAGAGCUGCCUGCUGACUGCUGCCUGUGGUGUGGUUUGGCCACAGCUGGGCCACGAGCUGUGCACUGUGCAUCUCCCCACCUGCACCAUGCAGCUUGCUGCGGUGGGCUGCUGUGCUCUGUGGGGACGGAUGCUCUUUGCAUCUCUGGUGGCAGCUGCCAGUUGCUGGGGGGCUGCUGGUUGCUUUCAAAUCCCAUGGAGAGGCCGGUGGUGGUGGUGGAAGGAAGGAGAAGGAGGGGAGGGAGGGUUCAUUCUCAAAAAGGCUGUUACUGUUUAACUCUAUGCAAACUCAGCUGCCACAAGCCCUCGUGCAAGAAGUCUGUUCUUCCUGAAAAUGUGGCAGUCCUUUCACAGCCCCUUCCAAAAUUUACUUGGAUGGAGCUGGACUUGGCCCUUACUCAGGAGGAGUGGUUGAGCAUUUUUUAAACCUGUUGUUCCUUAACUGAAAGGCUUUUUUCCUAACAGAAAAUAAGGGCCUUACACUGCCAACCUUUCUGCCUGCAAACUGGGAUUAUAAAUAGCUUCAGCAUUUUGCUCAUGUCUGCCAACACUGACAGUUAAAAAUUAGCUCCUGAUCUGGAGCUAUUCAGAUAUGUAAUGUUUAUAUAUCUGUUUUCCUAUCAGUGUCCAGCCCCAUGGCUUUCUCACAAACUCUGCUUUCUUUACCACGCAGGGUAGAAAUACACGCUGACCACGCAGACUGCUGGUAAAAUAUCAACUAGAGCAGCAGCAACCAGGUAUCUUGAGAUGAUGCAAUCCAUAGAAAUCACUCUGAGAUGUUAACCUGGGGCUGGGAGAGGAGUGGAAUAGCAGAUAUACUUUUGUGGUACUUAAUAUACAGAUGACAUUUAAGGCUUUCAACUGUUAUUUAAACCUGAUCUGAUUUUCUAAUUUCUAAACCUUAAAUUCCAGCCAAGGACAUCUCUGAGCUAAGAAAAAAACCAAAGAUUUUUACCCAGCAAAAUCUUGGACAGGUGACAAUCACAAAUUUAUUUUCAUACAAUUACAAUGCCAACAGAGCCCCCUUCUCUCCCCUCUUCCAUUCCCUCCUCCCAAGUGUGCAUUUACAGAAAUCAAGGCCAGGUUGUUACAGGGGGCUUGAUUCUGUUCUCAUGGGCAGUGACGACAUGUUAGGAGGAACACUACAAGGUCCUGCGAGUCUGCACCAUGCUGAAAAUUGAAAGCUGUGGACUACGACAUGUGGUGCUGUUACAAAAGCAACAAUGAGGAGUGUGGCAGUCCUGCACAUCUCUGCAGCUGGCCAGCCCUCAUCAGGCAAUGAUGCAGAAGCCAGAAAACAUUCACAUGUUCUCUACUUACACAAGAAUGGCAGUGGUGUUUUGUUCUUUGACUUUCCCUCAGCACUAAUUUGCUUUAACCCUUCGACUUUACUCAUCUCCUUGACAGCCAGUUCAUUUUUUGACAAAUAAAACUUCAGUUUUAUCUGGAUCAAGUCAAUUUUCUGUACCAUUUGCUGGGCUUAAAAUGCUACAGGUCUCUGCUUGAAUCACAAGGAGACAAAAGACAUCUCAUAUUUCAUGCCUGUUUAUGGUAGGACUAAUAUCAAGUUCUUUAGACAGCAAAACACAUUAGCUCAAAACUCAGAGGACUAGAAAAAAUUACUUUGCCUGAUUAGCUUUAAGCUGACAUGUCUGAAAACAUCAAACAAGAAUCAGCCUGCUUUUGAAAUUUGUUUCCAGUUAUAGAAAAUGACCUUCUUAAUUCCCAGCAGCAUCACAUCCUAACUUAAAAGAGCUACCCUUUCCUCUCACAUCCACAAAGGUGCUCCCACAGACUGAUGUGUUUGAUAACACUGAUGGAGAUCCCUGCUGAAAUCCUCCCAUCCAUGUUAAGCGGGAUGGGGAAUCAGAAUGAUCUUAACAACCUUUUUUUGUGUGUGUGUGUGGCAGGCCCUCCCAAUAGAGGCGAGUUAUCUGUGGGGUGAAGAGGACUCCUUCUGUGCAUGAUAUUUUGGCAUUGGAGCGAUCCACAUCCCAAAAUAGAAGAUCUUUCAAACAGUUUUUCAGAUAUUUCAGACAUUUCAAAAUAUUCUGGCAGAGGCUGUAUUUGUUUCCAGAGGAUCACAGAGUCGCUGAAUGGUUAACGCUGGGAGGGAUCUCUGGAUGUCUUAUGAUCCAAUGCCCCUGUUUGAGCAGGGGCUCAUCUCUACGUUACAUGAACCAAAUGAUGUACUGUUAUCAUAGCAGAGAAGUAAUGAGUGGCCUCAUCCCAGACUCAAGUAGAGGCAGAGCACAGGUCUACUGGCCCAGGCAGGUUUGCAACCGAACUGGCAGACAGCAACUUCCAUCAUGGUUUUCUCUUUUUUUGCCAUGUUAUCUUCCUGGAGGACAAUGCACUCACUCCUCUAGAAAGAGAGCUAGAAAGCCAUCUCUGCCAGACCAUGUCUUGGGUUUCAGACAUUGGAAGCCCAAAGGCAAACAUUUUUCCUUUGCAAGGAGUGGACAUUUCUCCACUUGCUUCCACCAGGGACCAGCUGUUAAGCAUGUGUGUGUACCAUGAUACACCUGCUCUUACUGCUUUAUAUAUUUCAAGAACAAUACACUGAAUAAAAGUUAUUAUUAAUAGGUUCUAUUAUUUUUGCUGAGUGUUCAAUGCUUGAGAUUUGUGCUUUAUUUUUGCUGAGUUCUUUCUUGGUUAAACUUUAUUUGGUUGACCGGGGAAUAGGAACCGAUAACCUUCUGCUUGUCAUCCUUCCCCUCUGUUGGGGACAACCUUCUCACACCAAAAGGGAAGAUGGGAAAAGAGAACUGGAAGAUUCCCAUGCUAUUGCAUUGGUAGUGGAUGACUGUGCUUAGAGGUACUUUGAGGUUUCAGGGAUAUCCCUGCCAUACACAUAAUGAGCAGGGGAAAUGGAAUCUCACUGAUAUUAAAACAGAAUUUAGUACCUAACAAUUUUUUGUUUGUUUGUUUGUUUGUUUGUUUGCAUAUUAUCAUUUAAUACCUAAUUCUGCUGUUUGAUAACUCUCUGGAAGUGGAGUUCUCACCUCUCUGUGAGGUUAUAUCUUUUGAUAUAACCAGGCACUGACAAGCACAGCAUGUCAGAGCUGAGAUUUCGACAUACUCAGUGUUGCCUUGUAGAUAUGCACCUGAAUUUCUUUCUCUGUUUUGCUCAUGCAAAGAACUAGAGUAUUGAAUGGGUAGGAGUCCCUAUCUUGGUCUUGCAUGGGCUCUCUGUAGAAGAAGUAGGAGGCAGAGGAAGGUAAGAAGUUAUUCAAGACUAAGCAAAUAUGAAAAAUAAAUCAGUGGGUAUUUCCUUUCAGGGCUGUGAAGCCCAACAGCAUUACUUUAAACUGGAUAACCUUCUCUCCAGCCUUCGCAGCAAUUUCAAACAGGUCACCUUAGCUCAUACUUCAAUAGACCAAAUUCAUAUAAGGAGGCAAAGCAGCAAGGCUCUUCCAACAACAUGAAGUUUACACAGUGUAAAACAAGCAGCCAGUGUUUUUUUUUUUUUUUUUUUUUUUUUUUUUACAGUGACUAUUCUGUGCAUUUGUUUUUUUUUUAAUCCCUGUUGGCAAAAAUAUAAAUGGACAGGAUUUUAGAACCAAGACAUUAAUACGCUUCCCUCAAAUUCUCUACAACCAAUAUUCCGAUAUUUACUCAUUCAGGAUAACCAGGUCAAUUGUUUUUGGCACAUAUCCACAAGCAUCAGUUCCUCUGUCUGGUAAAUGCUGUUUUUGUAGCAGUCGGCAGGGCUGCUGUCUAGCCCACUUCCAAAACAUCCUGGUAGAAAACAAAGAGCAGAUUUAGCAAAACAGUAAAGUUUACUUGGAGCUACAGCCACCAUCUGAGGCAGGUGAUUGUAUGCACAUAAAUGAGUACAGUGCACUGGUAAAAAUAUCUACAAAGGCAAUAAAUAAUACUGGUUUACAAUAGGUGGAAUUCCUUCCAAUGUUACAGUUUAAAUUAAGACUCAUGAUAUAUGGUUUGACUGCAACCUUCAGCACAGAAUUAAAUUUCUUCUGAUGACCUGCUUCAGUUUUGGCCUUAUCCUUGAAAUUUAUCUGUCAAAUCCUAGCUACAGCAUCCAAUAUUUAAUUUGAAGGCAUAUAGCUGCUUUACAUGUUGUUUGUGGUGACAUUUCUGUCCAGCUAUCAGAAAUGCAAUGCCUAGAACAGUCAAUUCACAAUGAAAUAAUAAUGCUAAAUUUGUAAUUAAUUUGCAAUGAUUAUACAGAUAUCAAUAUAAAAAUAGACCAAGAACUCACUAAGCUUAGAAGGAUGUGUGCUUUAAUUUUUAGCCCUGAAAAGUGUGCAGACAUCUUUUGAUAGCAGCCUGUUGUACUUGAGAUGCUCGAGUAAAUGAUUACCAGUAUUUUUCUAAGCCACUUUGUAAUUAUUUUUUUCAUUGAAAGUGUUUAUCAAAUUUUAUUUUAUAGAAUAUGUCAAAGGAUGAAAUAAAUCCAUGUUCCGAGGACUAUAAAAAUGGCUGAUUUUGCAUUUAAAUUUUAGGUAUGGUAUCAAAACCAGUUUGGUAUCAAACUCUGUUUGAGUUCUAUAUUUGCAUUAGUAAUCUAAUGAUCUAAAUAGUGCUUACAUGAUGCUGCACUGGAUCUGGUCAUUACGACUCAGGCAAGAGAUCUUGGAACAUUGCUGCGCCAAAAUCAACUCAGUGUGCAGCAAGGCCAAAUAAGCCAUCAAAAUGUUGGACAUCAUCAGGAAGGAUACUGGAAGCAGAACAGGAGUUAUGAUUUUCUGCUUUUAAAACCUGAUGUGCACCAUCUUAACUACCAUGUGCAGUCCUGGUCUUUAUGUCUCAAGAAAGAUUCAGUGGAGGUGAAGAAGGCAACAGAGAAGGGCAACUAAAAAGAUCAAGGAGAUGGAGCAGCUGCAUAAAUAGAGGAGACGGAAAAUAUUGGGACUGUUCAGUUUGAAAAAGAGAAAGUUGAAGUUUACACUGAAAUGAAGGUGAUAGAUACAUUGAAUGUGGAGUGUGUCUGCACUACCUCAUGAAAUUUGUAAAUCAGUUUAAAAUUAGCAAAAGAAAGCACUUAUUUCUACAUUAGGUGGUAAACUUCUGCAGCUUGCUGCAGGUGGUAUCAACAGAUUGAGAAAGAGAAAAGACACCUAAGACACAUUCAUGGGUACUAGAGGCAAGAGGUAAGGAGGUAAGGAGGUGCCAUCUGACAUCCCUAAGAGGGGGAAAAGACAACAGUGUCCUCACUCCUGUGCACCUCUCAAACAGUAACCAUGUUUUCAGUGCUGAAGGGAGAAUACUGUGUGACACGGAGCAGUGGUCUUAGAGGGACACUCGUUUGCUUUUAUGUUUUAAGGUUGCUGUCUGUGCUGAAGAGAAGUGGUGCUAGUUGCAUAACUUUAAAGCAGAAACUGAUCAAGCUGAUGGUGCAGCAGGAUGGAUUACUGAAAUAGUAGCUGGAAAUUUUCCCUCUAGGAAGGGAGAACAUUCAUGGAAAUGCAGAGCUUUUUACAAACAACAGACUUUCUCCCAUUUUCUCACCGUUGUUUUGAAAUGUUAAGUAGUGACACAUAAACCAUCCAACUGUAAAGAGUGAAAUGUCACAAUACCAUAUCUCCAUAAAAUACAGAUAAAUGUGUAUCCUUUGUGAGUAGAGAAGUUCUUAUGGAGUACUUUCUUUCCUGUUCUUUUUCAUGUACCUGCCUUGGUGCUGGUAAGUGAAGAACACUACGCCUGCAAGCUCGUAUAUUCCAUUUGCCACCAAGUCUACCUGCAAACCUGGUCUAGUGGAUGGUGUCCCUGCCUAUAUCAGGGGAGUUGGAACUGGAUGAUCUUAAAGGUCCCUUCCAACCCAAACCAUUCUAUGUUUCUAUGAUCUCUUGUAAACGCCAUCUAGCUCAUCUCCCUGAAUAUCAAAGCAGUUCUGUGAAAAGCGCUGCCUAUCCUUGGUUAUAAGAGAAGAAAAGCAACCAGAAGAGUGAAGUAGCCCAAUUCAUGAAAACCCAUUGAUGUCUGUUGCUCAAAUGUUUUAUGAUAGCAUUUCCAGACCUUUGUUUUUUGCACUUCAUACUUGUAAGGAUUGGGGCUUGUUGUUUCUGGGCAAAUAAAUUCACAUUAUCCUUUUAUGUGAUUCCUGUAGGCAGUGUGAGAGCUACUAGAGUGUGAAUUGUUUGCUCAUGAUCUUUUUCCAUGCAGAAGGUACACAUGGCCUUUUCCUUUCUUUCCCUCAUGCACACUGUAACACUUGUUAAAUAGAGGUCAAUCAUCCUAGAAUUUUCUCUCAGCUGCCCUAUAAAUAAUAAAUAAUAAACAAAGCUGCGUGAAGCUAGGCAUGAAGGAUACUGGUGGUUUGCCAUUAAUCUUUCAAGCAGUAGCCAGCUAUAUCCUGUCAGUUGUUGUGUGGUUUGCUAGAUAUAUUUUAUGGUUGUCUGAUUGGAUACCUUUUGUGUUCUCAUUGCAUGGGGACCAUUAAAGCUCAUUUCAGGUGAGACGCUUGUGCGUUUGGUGACAAAGACCAGCUGAAGGAUAUACAGUCAGCUACCAGUGCAGCUGACCUGGAUUCUUAACAUUUGUUAUGCUUUUUCAGACUUUUGCCAAAGACCUUAGAUUUUGCAGUUUCCUAUUUCCAGCCUGGUGCCAAGUGCUAUUCAACUGCCUCUCUCAGCAGAAACCCAGAGUUAUGAAUCCGUAUGCCAUUGCUUCCAACUGCAAAUAUCCUAACAUAGUGGUUUCCAGUCUAUGGCGCACUAAUGCAGAAAUCAUACUCUGUGGCCUUUGUCUGUGUGGUAAAGAAAUAUUUGAGAAAUUAAAUUCAAAAGAGAACGGCUCACUGUUCUGAGCCAAAGAUGUUUCAAAAAAAUAAAGACUGGGCCUUCAUAUAUGAAAUUUAUCACACUGUUCAAAUCUUCAGUAGAAAAUACCAGGUGAACUGAAAAUUGAAAAAACCUUACAAACCACAACAGUGUUCUUCCUGCUUGAUGUUUUGGGGUUGUUUUUUUUUGGUGGUUUGGGGUGGCUUUUUUUUUUUUUUAAUUUGUUUUGGUUGCUGACAAUAUGACAGCAUUCUGCUUUUGGUCUAAUAUGUUAGGUGUUGAAAAAUAAAUAGAACUGUUUAUUCUAUAAGCAGUGGGGGUAGAGUCCUGCUGGAGACCCUCAGCAGACCCCAGUGCCCCACUGACUUUCCUGAUUCCACUGUUCCUGAGACAACUUUGCUGCAGCUGAGCUGAACAGGAAAAUAGCAACAGGACUGUAAGGUAUGUCUGUGACAGAGCAGCUGUCAAAGUGCAGCACUACGUGUUGCGGAUUUCUUUGUAGAUCUGCCAAGAGCUGGCAUGCUGAAUAGAUAAAUCUAUGAUUCUUAGAGCAGUGCGUCACAGUGACCUUGGACAAAAGAUCUCUGGGUCAAAGUGUGGCAGCUGCUGCAGCCCUUUGCUUUCCAGGCUCCAGAUCUGUUUUAUUGUAUUUCAUGGGGAUAUUUGUGUAACCCAGAAGCAGUCAUGAAAGAGGCAGGGUUUCUGCUGGUGCAUGAACUGAACUCUUGUUUACCAUUUGGACAAAUCCUACCUUUGGAUAAGCCUUUGGACAUGGUAUCUUAAACUACAGUAGAUCCAGUGAAGGCAGAAAGUGGCCAUCUGGACUCUGCAGGUGAGAUUUAUCCAUGAGCCAAAGCUAACAUAAAUCUCAGACUUAUGCCUUUCUUUGGAAUUUCAGCAAUGCUUCGCAGAGCCAGUUCCAGGCUUCUUGGCAAUGCCGGCCAAAGAAAUAAAUAAUUUAAAAAAUGCCUCCUGCCAGAGAGCAGAGCUAGAGACAAAAUGGACCUGGAACUGAGAAAUGUGGGGAGCUGCUCCCAUUUCUGUCAGAAGGGCAGAGGGUGGCCGUGCCUAUUGCUGCCAGACAUCCUCUCCUGCAUGCUCUCUGGCCUUGCAAAGGGAGCAGAAACAGGAAGCUGGCUCCAGCAAAGCUGCAACUGCCAAGGAUGUUGUGUCACUGCCCGCAGUUAUUGCCAGGCUUUGCUCACAGUCAGCAAGCUGAGCUGCGCCAACUUGGAGACAGUGGCUCUCACAAGGGUGAAUUUCACCCUGCCCAUACACAGGUGCUCUUCCUACAAGGCACACGAAAGGAUUUUGUAGCACUGAGGUUUAGUUUGUGUUUUAAGCUUGGGUUUUGCUGUUGAUGGGAAGCGGCUUUUCCUCUUCAGUUUUGUCAUUCUGUGGAACAACUCAUGGCCACCAUCUGUGUGGGCACAGAUACUAGACCAUGACUUGCAAGAUCUGAGCUCAUUUCCUGCAUCAAGCCACAGAUUUUUUGCAUGACCUAAGGAAGUUACUUCAAGUCAUCCAGGUAUCACUUCUCCACUUAUAUGAAGCUUUCAGCUUCAGUGGAAUUUGUUAUAAUAACCCCACUUAGAUGUGAAGGUCUAACAGCAGAAGCCAUAAUGAAGACACUGUGGUUACCUAGCAGGCUCAGUGCAACCACUGUUGGUUUCACUGGAAGCUGCUAUGAGUUUAAAAAUUGUGUCCCUCCGACUUCUCCCACAUAAAUCCUAGAAGUUUGAGCCAGUGACUACAAUGUGGGCCACUGACAAUUUAUUAAUAAUGUUUCUGUCCCUCCCUGCUAGGAUCAGUGAUUCAAAUGCUGUAAAAUUUCCCAAGGGAGUCGAGCUGUCAGCAAUGAGUGGCAAUUCAUAGAACUAAUACUAAAAUAAAGCUGGUAGGGGUUUAUUAUUGUCAGUGUUAAAGCAGACAAGUGGUAGAAGGUGGGUGCCCGAGGCCAUGUGACACAGAGCAACUGGAAGAAGCGUCUUGGGCAGUGGACCAGACUGGUGGUGCUGUGACCCUCAGAGCUCAUUAGGUAAGAUGUUUGCAGUUUCCCAAGAUAUCUUGUCUCACUAUCACUGUGUUUUCUUUUCCUCUCUGCUGGCUGGAUUGGAUCCUCCCUGCCUUUCCCCUGUUCAAGCUGCAAAAGCCAUAUUCUUUGCACAUGCAGUAUGUGUCUUGGAGGUGACCUGUCCCUCCCUCUGUGCUGCUGGUGACAGGAAAGCCUCUGUCCCUCAGCAGAGCCAUCCCAAACACAUCUUCCUGUUAGCUCCUGCAGCACAGUGCAUGCUUGUGGGCAGGAAGAUCAGGUGUAUGUGUCCAGGGAAGAGAUGAGGAGCUAUGGACAGGGACCUUGGGUGGAAGCUAUCUCCUUGGCUCAGAAAGCCCUGCUCAUUUCUCCAGCUUUGCACCCUUGGUGCUCACUGUACUGAUAUAGGGCAAGAUUCUGCUCAGCUAUACCACUGGCCUUGCUGAAAGGAUGAUAAUGGCUGUCUUAUCCAAGUCCUUGUGCCUACACGUAAAAUGUAGCAGUUUUGGACUACCUUGAUUUUCAUGAGCUGUGUCUACAAACAAACAAACAAAACAAACAAACAAUCAAAAAAAGGCCAAAGGAAACUUAUAUGGGGGCAAAUAUGUUGUCUUCAUGAUACAAAGAAACAUCUCGUUUGCUGACUCAGCUAUUUGUGGUGCAAGGAAAGGGAAAGGAUUCAUAGCUAACAAACGAUUUCUAACAAAAAUCUAAAUUUUGAGGAACUCUUUGCCAGUGCCUUUCAUAUCGGCCCACAAAUUAAGCUGUAGACAUAUCUUUUUUUUAUGAAUAUGAAAAUUUCCUUAUAGAAAGAUUCCCCCUCACUCUGUGAUCGGGUGGGACAGAAUCAGAGCUCUUCGGAAACCUGUUGCAUGCGCAGCCCCCUUGGUGGGACUAUUUAAGCAGUCAGCAUCAUAAAGCAUCCCUAGAAAGGGGAUUGUUGCUGCUAUUUUAAAAAAUGUGUUAUUAUUUAGGAUAUCGCAGUUCCGAUUACUUCCAGUGUGAGCGAUGUUCCAGAGGCCAGACUUUGUGCAUGCCCUUGCACUCACUCUCCAAACACAAUUGUGUUGUUGUCAGAUAUGCAAUAGAGGAGGCACUCAUAUUCAGGAAUUGCAUGUGAAAAAUUUGAAUCAUGUUGGACAUUCAUAGAAAUAACAUAGAAAGAGGAGUUCAUCUUUUAAAACUGGGGGGAAAAAAAAGCCCUUUUUGAGUAGUGUUUUGAAAGCAUCCUCAGAAUGGACAAGGCAACCCUCGCAAAAUGCUGUCUGUAAAACAGCAAGAACAAGUCAGAUAAUAAUCUAUUGCUCUUCUUUAUGAGAGGUAUGCUGGGUAAGUAGAAACAAAAUGAACCACAGAAUUAUGCCUUUAUGGCAUCAGAAAUGUCACCCCUAGGAAAUUAAAAGCCGCGCACAAUUGCCAGCAUUAAUCCCUGCCCUGGAUGCUGCAAAAAGACCCCUGAGUUUCCCUUUGGCAGAACUUCAAUUUCUUGAUGAUUUUUUUGUGUGUGCACAGCAGUGCCCCAGUUGACACAUCUGGGUCUGUGCCCUGUCUGUACCUGCUCAGCAGGAAUGUAAACACGGCACAGACACUGCUGCCUUUAGCUGCAUGAUCUCCUCACAUCGGCCAAGGGGAAAUGAUAGCAGUGUUUCUUCUGUCUCUACACUGUGAGCGCAUGUUUUGUGGCAGAAGAAGGAAAUGGUACUUUUUGCAGGUGAGCUACAGAACAGAGAAUGAAAUCCUCGUGACUCAGAGAAAGGAGAAAUAACAUAAAGGAAAGGUUAAAUCUGCAAAAGUGCCAUUCAUUCACUGUUCAGCUAAAGAGGCAGUAAAGAAAGUCUCUCAGACAGAUAACGUGACUGCAGCCACGUUAUGUUGGCUUUUCUUUGUCUUGCCCGGUUAAAGCUAUCAUGCUACACACAAGGACUGAUAUGGAAAGGUCAGCUACAUUGCUUAGGUGAGAACAGAGCAGCACUAGGGCAUUUCAGCAUGUUGCAGAUGCCUACCAGACAAGGGAACUGCUGAGAGUUCACAAAGAACACAUCUCGUCAAAGCUCAGUAAUGUGUCUGGGAAAUCUUGCUAAAUUUACCAGUGUUUCUUGCUUGAACUGUGUCCUGAUGUUCAAAGGAAGGCUCUGAGUAAGGACAUCUAUUGCCCAUUUCUAAUUCUGGCUACUAAUUUUGAAAAAAAAUCACUUUUCCUCAUGUCUGACUUCUCAGUAAUUUCAGAGUACAUGUGUGAAUAUACAUGUGGUCAUAUAAAAGACUUUUGUAACUGUUGGCAAAGAGCCUUUUUUCCUAUGGAACUUGGGAGAUGCUUGUGGAAGAGCCGGAAACAUAUCUUGUGUUUUACUUCUUUGUCCUUUGAAGACAGGAGUACUGCAGGAAAUACAGCUACCAGUUUCUGCUUCACAGUGCUUUUCUUCACUGUGCCAGUGCUAUGGCAGUAAUUAAAAUGACAGAUAAAUAACAUUCACGUUUGUUCUCCAAGCCCAGCAGUGGGAAAACUCUGCACAGCCCAAGUUAGAGCUGCAUGAACUGCAUUGACCCCUGCCUACACCACUUCAUCUACCUUAUGGGAGGGUUAUGUAGUUGAUUAUUAUUGCUAUUUGGAACACGGGGUUUGUUUAAUGCAGCAUUAGUGAGAGAAAAAAAACAUGUACUUCUCUGGGCAUACUCCUGUUCCUGCAAGGACAAGAGAACUUAGCUUCUUUUCAAUGGGAAUCCUGCUGUUUAUUUAAUAGCAGGUGGGAUUAAACCCUGCAAUAGGUCAAAGUGGGAGGAUCUGGAGUGACAUUCAGGACAUAUGUAAGCAUUUACUGGUGUGGUGUCCAGGUUCUCUAUGCACCACCAUGGUGUUUUGUUUUUGAGAGCGUGGGGAGGAGCAGAUAGCACGUGCAGCCUUGUUUCUUCAGUAUCAACAAGAAGCAACUCAGUUCAUCCUGUCAGAGGGAGAGCAGUUGGCGUAACUUAUCCAGCAGAACAGCUGAUACUGUGAAAUGUAUCUGAGAAUUAGUCAAACAGACCAAGAGUGAGUACAGCCUGCGGUUUAAUGACAGCUGAGCAAAGGUUCUCAUUGUACUAACAACAUCCUGUGUCUCUGUGGCAGUGAUGUGGUAUAUGCACACGUACUCCUUUGCAGUCAAUAACUUCUCAUCAGAUUUUCACACCGGCUGAUUUGGCUGUUAUUUAACAAGUGUGUUUUCCUCUUCCUGCCUUGCGUUUAUUUUUGUUGCUGUUGUUGCAGAAGUAAAAUCAUCUCACAUUUUCUCAGAAAUUCUUCAGAGUGCUGCUAAUGUUUUGCUUGAUGUUUUGCUGAAAGAGGUUUUGCAGGGACUUUUUAAAUGUCACAUCUGUUCUCAAAGUGCAUUUACUUAAUUGGCGUACAGUGCUGGAUGGCAUUCAGUACCUACACACGUACCAGCUAGGUACAAAGCUGCAUGGCUUGUCAGAGCAUACCUGAAAAAGAAACAUGAGCUCAGCUUCCUCUAGAAGUGUGGCAAGCUCUGAUGAUAUGGGAGAUAGCACAGCAGGGUGAUGCUCAUGGCAAGUGAUGGACACAGGUCGUGCUUGGUGGUGCCAAACAGAAGAAGAGGAAAUCUUUUCCAUGAAAAAAAAAAUCCUCUUACAUUUGGUGACCUUUCUGCCUGAAUAAAAACAAAAUCAAUAGUGUUAACAUCUCCUGUAAUGUUUGAUCUUUUCUUAUGUCCUUGAGAUUUCUUACGCAUAGGUAUUACAUUAUGUAAUAUAUUUUAUAUUUAGCAUACAAAUGAUGAAACGCAGCUUUCCCCAAUACCUCUUAUAGUAGAUAUCAACAUGCUUAAUCAGUGAGAUCAUCUAUCAUCCCCAUUUAAAGGGCUGGGAAACAGAGAAAAAUAAAAUGGUGUGCCACACAGGCCAGAAAUGCAGUGGCAAAGCCUGGAAUAAAAUUAGGUCUCAUUAGUUGUAGCCCAGUGGUCUCUUUGCUAGGAAAUGAUGCCUCCUUAUUUUAUAGUACAAAAAUAUAAAAACAUAGAGCAGCAGCACUGAAUAUAUUAGAAAAGGCUUGAAAGAAAGCAGUGGGAAAAUGUAAAAUCACACAAUAAAUUUGGAAACAAAACCUCUUCUGAAAGAAAAGGCAAAACGAUCUGUUCAAGUAAUGACUUUCACAUUCCACUGUGCUUGUUUUUCCGAAAACAAUCCACGAUUCCCAUAGAUUCCUCUAUAUUCUGCAAUCUAGUACUGAUAGAAGUGUGUUUUUUCAUUGGAAAAAUGUUUUUUUUUUUGACCGUUUUCACUUGCUGUAGAGGAAGAGAAGGAAAGUACGUAAAGCCAGCAGGACUGCUGGGAGGCCAGUAGGUUUUUCUUUUUCUAUGUUUUUCUUUUAUUUUGUGAGCUUUACAAAUGUGCUGUAAGCUUAGUUUAUGCUUCAAACGCAUUUUGUCUGGCAAAUCAUAACUGAUGCAAUAUGAUUUGAAAGUCUCCGCCAUCAUGCAGAAAUUACAAUUCUCUCCCCAGGGACCUUCCCCAAAACAUAAAGCAGAGCCUUCCUCCUCAUUAAAACAUUUUAUUGUGUGAAAAAUGACAAUGAGCCGUAAAAUCUGGAGGGAAAUGAUUGCUGCACACUAACAUAUGCUCAACGAUUUCAAUACCAGAGCGUGUGGAGGCUGUCAGUUGCACUUCAAGAUGAGGAAAUGAGCUUCUUGAUCUUGUCCGGAUGGAGGGCAAUUUAGAGGGACAUUGCAAGCAGAGCAGUUGGGCCCUGAAUGCCUUUUUUCAACACAGCAGCAGGAUAUCCAGCAAUCAGCAGUACGACGGCACUAGUUUGUUUUGUUUGCAAAAGCAUGUCUUACUGUCCCUUCGCUAUUCCUGCUUCACUUUUCUUAAAGCCGAUGAGAAUAAUUGUGGCUGUUAUUAUUAUGUACAAAAACGGCACAGAAAGAAGAUAAAGGUUGCCUACUCAGGCACUCAGAAGUUAGAAAAUAAUGGGAUUACUGUUGCCUUGACAACAUUUCCCUCUCCUUCCCCUGCCCCCAGUUUCAUUCCAGGAAACGGCUGAGGCACUUUGCUGAAACUCUGCAAAAUAAUUAAAUAAAAGAUUCAGCCAAAGAGAGACACCUGGCUUGGAAAACUUCCCCCUCCACACAUCUGACAAAACGAUAAACAGAUGAAAAGCAGGAUUUUUUGAACAGAAGAAGAAAGUAAUGCUGAUUGUACUAGUAGCUCCAUCUACAUUUUGUUGUUGUUGUUGUUCUUUUGCUUUAAUUUACACUACAUCCCUGCAGGCUGUUUCUGGAGCAUAUCCCUUUGUUCUGCAAGGCACAGGAUCGUGUACACAGCAGCAGGAGGGGGCUCAGUUUCCUGCUGCUGCUCAUGGGAGGAGGACUUCCCACCCCAGGAAAGAGAAGACCAGGGGAAACUUGAGAAGGCUGCGAUGACACUGGAGGCACAGCUUCAGGGCUUUUAGCACUAUGCGUCACAUUCGUGUGACCCAUGACCAACAUGUAAUGUUGUGCCUGACGCACGUGAAGAGCUCUGCCUCUCUGGAGAGCGUCACAGAGGCUGCAGGGGUCCGGAGCUGGCAGCCCCCUGGGGCAGACGACAGCACCCUGUGACACCUGGUGCGUCAUCUGCAGCUGAGCUCCCAGUAAGGUCAGGCAGGAGACUGAUAAAUGACCCCACCUUGUCAACACCACCGUCAUUAGUGCUGUUAUCACCCUGCGAAUGGGAACGUGAAGGAAUUCAUAUCCCUGCCCUUGCCAAAGCUGGAGAGCAAGUGGGAACAGGAGCUGUGGAGGUGACUGUUCACACCACUUACAUUCUCCUGCAAAGCAGCACAAUGUUUGGUUUGUUAACCAAAGGGAUUUUGUAGCUGAUCAUUAAAUAUUAUUUCAGAUUAAUGGAAUUUAUAGGCUGUCUGAUGACGAUGAGAUUUCUUUCAAAGGAGGGACAAAAGACUUCAGCAUGCACUGGCAUGGCUAGAACACUAACAAAUCACUAGCGUGGUGGAAAGCCCAGAAAUGCUCUCAUGCCCCUUUUCUCAUGCAGCCUGUCUGAACUAACAGCACAUCCAAAAGCGGCAGGUAAUGUAGCCUGCACAGGGGCUGGAAAUGGACCCACCUGACCACGUUGAUUUUGACAAGUAACUUGACAGCACUGUGAGUGGCAGGAGCAGUGUGAUUUAUUCAAAAGUUGACUACUCUGGAAAAAAAAAAAAGAAACACAACUAAAUUUGCAUAUAAUGAGAUGCAUUUUAAAAUCAAAACAAUUAACAGCUAUGUUAUUUUUUCUUCCUUUGCUUUUGCUUGGAGCACGGUUAACCCUGAUGCUUAAAAUUCCCUUUGAAUGCCUUUUGGUGGGAAUCUGAUGGGAUGCAGGGAGCCUGGCAGCCCCUCCAAAUACCUCCAUGUACAACCAGCAGUGUUGGUGGAGUCUCGUCAGCACAUGGGAGACAUAAGGAGCUGGCCAAUCUGGCCCAUCAAGUCCUGGUUUGCAAACUCUGCUCAACUAAGUGAUACCAACAAUUGGAUCCACAGGUCUUGACUGGUCUGUUUGUGAAAAUUAUCUAAAGUGACAAGCAAGGUCUCUCACGACUGACUCAUAUAAGGUGACUGGCUCAUUCUUGUAUGGGGUGUGCUGGGUGUUACAGCUAUUGCUGACCUCAGACUGAGCACUGUGGCCUUUUGGUUCAAAAACAUAUGCUUCAAUGAGAUGCUCUGUGAGUUUGGUAACCUCGGUAUUCUAUGAGAAGUGUUUGAUUUCACAGAGGAAAGCCUAAGGACACUUGAAAUGUCUUGUUUCUGCAACUCUGAACCAGUUUCUUGUCAUCAGGUAACACCUGGUGCUUUUGUCAGUGCUAAGCAGCACGUUACAUUCUAUACUCUAAAAUGUUUGGAUCAGUUAUGCAUGGAUGCAAGAAAAUAAAACCCCGCUGUAUAUCUUUGCUUACUAUCUGUCCUCUGUCCCUGUCAUUCUAACACGCAUUUCAAAAGAAGACAGUGCUCUGCUUUCCAGUCAAAAUAUUAAAGAAUGCUUCUAAAAUACUUUAGUUAUAAAUAUGAAAAUGUUAUGUAAUGUGAGAUAUGCUACAGACUGCAGCUUGCGUAAUACAAAGGAGCAACCUCAGCAGAGAAGUCCAGAUGUACACUGUCUAAAAAUCUGGCCUAUAAAUUGGUGGUUAAUAAACACGGAAUAAUGUAUCAGGUAUUCAGCUAGGAGCACCAGGCUGCUAACAUCUGCCGUGAAGUGAAACUGGUUGUUCUCAACUCAGUACAUACAUGUGCUUUCCUGUACAUUCACACAGAGAGCUGGAUAGUGGCUCUAUAGGUGGCCAAAACAAAAGCUUUCUCCAACAAAGGGGAAUGAUCUGUGAUGGAAUUAUCUCUGGUAUUGGUACUGCAGGUUCCCUCCAGCACUGUGAUAGUUUUGAAAGCAUAAUGCAGACUGGUCUUGAGUAAGGACUAUUUUUUGCAACAGAACAACACAUGAAAAUCUAAAUCAUGCUGUAAAUUUGGGAACAAAAUGCACUUAAUCAGGACAUAUAGCCUGGGAAAUGCUCUCUGUUGUAUUUCACACUGAUGAGAGCUUCUCUUGAUUUGAUUUGUGUGUAGUGGAGCUUCACCAGAAAGAUUACAGGAAGUCUUAGGGCAAAUCUGCAGCUGAGACAUAGGUGUAGAGGGAUUUUCAAUCAGAAUAUCACUGACAAAAAUGUUUUGGCUAAAAUUAUUUUCCCUUACUGUGACUUCUGUCAGGGAAGACAGCAGUGUAGCACUGUCAUGGCACCCAACAGCAAAGAAUGCCACCACAAAGGAAAAUAGUAUUUACACUGAAAGGGAAAAAUUAGUUAAUGACCUGGUUUAAAACAGGAAACAAGGUGUCACGUUCUGUUCUUUGAAAGUAAAAAUGAUAAGAGCUUUGAUGAGUGGACACCAUAAUAAGGGCCUUGGUUUUAUGUCUCAUCCAGGUGCAGCUCCUCACCCUAUACAGCCAUCCAUCCAUUUCAGCACAGAGCAGUCCUUUUUUUCAUCCUGGACCACAGGAAGGGAUGUUGCCAGGCAGGGAACUUGUUCCCUCUGGCACAUGCUGUUAUUACUCCUCCUGGACAGCAUUUUCUUCCUCUCUUUUUCUAUUUCUUUCCUGCUUUUAGGUUCAGCAAUCCCUUUUUUACAUCUAGAUCAAACUGUCUUCCCUGUGAUGCUGUAGGUGGGACUCAGCUCUCACAAGGCCAAAAGAGCUGUGGGUCCCCCACAGGACAGGACCAGAAAGGCAAAGGGGCAAUGUUCCUACCCACUGGUGCUAUUGCUCAGGGAUGUCCCUGGUUUCUGCACUUAUAUCUAAAUCUACACUGGAGGCUCCAAGCCGGAGCCCAGUCACUUCACAUGGAGUUGAAAUCAUUAAGGUGCACAUUUCAGUAUUGUCAGGAUUUGGGAACAAUUACCCAUCUGUUGUUAAAUCUAAUAGCAAUUCUGUUUCACAGUCUGUUGUAAUUUACACCCUGGUUAUUAUCAUAACUGAAUAAAUGACUCUGGCAUGUCUUUGAACUCCCAGCCCUUUGUUGCCACCUCCCAGAGGAGAGGCAGUUACCUGCCAUAUAAUUGCUCUUAAAGUAUCUAAGAGCAAUGUCACACAAACUUAAAUUGCUGCCAAAGGUUUGCUUGUUUGACUUUGUCCGCAAAGGGGUGUGUGUGUUUGUACAGCAAGUCACGCUUGUCAGCUGGGAGGAAGUAAACACCUGCUGGGAAACAGUUGGAGCAGAUUUUAAGCUUCUUUUCCAGUGCUCUCACCAUGUGGCUGCUCCAUAUCCAUGUUGGUGCAAGGUCAGCAAGGCUGGAUCUGAUCACCGCCGUCUGCUGCUCUUUGCAUGGAGAAUAGGGGUACCAGAGGGACUGCUGCCCUCUCCCUGCUGCAGCACGAUGCUGAGUGGUGGGGCAAAGCAAGGUUUUUGGCCCAGCACUGUUCUUCUCCCUGAUGCUGCAUUUCAUAACUUGAAUGUACUCUUCCUAUCUUCUGCUUCAAGAUGAGAAACCCUGUCCAGGUUGGCAGUACUCCUCCUGACCCUUCAGCCAGGGAGAUCAACUUAGGAGGGCAGGUAGCAUCAGUGGGUUGGAUCAUCUGGCAGAUGUGCUCACAUGCAGAGGUUAAAUCCAAACAUGAAAAUUGAGCUUGUAUUUAAAAUCCAGGAUCCUAAAGAAAAUGGAAAUAGAGUGAGCCUUUGAUUCAGUUGUAAGGCUGAACCUCUUGAAAGUUAUUUCAAGGAUUUCCUCUUACAUAGUUACAAUAAAUACCUGCUUUCAAUAUUCACAGUCUGUUUUUGCUGCUGCGUGCAAGGUUUCUAAUCUUCUUUUGUCUUUUCCUGUCAGGAGUCUUCAAGCAUCUUAUUCUGUUCUGACUUGAUUUCUCAGAUGGAAGUAUGCAUCUCAUCCAUGUCUGAGGAGCAAUAUACCACCUCAUCUGUCAACAGCAAGAAAUGACAAUAAUUACAAGAAAGUACAGACUAUAUCACAUGCUUUACUAUAACUUAGGGACAAACUUGAAAUUCGCAGAUAAGUUUGAGCAGAUUCUAACCUUUGUUAUGGGAAGCAAAGAUCUGAAGUCCACCGAGGCCAAUUAGGUGAUUACUGACUUGGAGCACUUUGAAUCAUCUCCACAAGUAGCACCAUUAGCCUGAGUGACCCAAUCAACUCUCCUGUCUGCAUGUGUUCAAAGACCUGUCGGCACUGCUCUGAAGAUGUGAGUUUAACUUUGCUCUCAUUUUCUCCUAGGUGAAGGAGAGAAAAUGCUGUAUUUGUUUUUAGAUGUAGUAUACCUGCAUUAUUACAAAAUACCUCUCUCAUUUCACACAGUUGUGAAGUAAAGGAAGUGGAGCACUGCCAAACACACCAAAGUUUUUUUUCCAUUUAUUGGUAACAUGAGAGAAGAAAUAAUCCAUUUUAUGUUUUACCAUGCUUGCUUAUCAUCUGAUUUAGUGCUCCUCUGUCAUGGCUAAUUACUCUAAGAUAAUUCUAGUUCUAGGUCUCAAAAUAUAUGAAUAAAACAUGUCCAGGUAUACCAUAUAUGUCAGGUGUGUGCAGAUAUCCACACAAUUGAAGACUUUGGAUUAUAAACUAUGGGAAUGGAUAUGACUAUUACAUGAAAAAUCAAUGAAAUGUUAAUCAGAUAAAGCACGACAGCAGGUGGCCAAGAUAUCAGUAGGGCACAUGUCUUAUAGCGUGUAAAUCUCUCUGCAAACAGGAAGGUCACUUUCAUGGCAUCACUAGAUAUUCUAUGUCACCAAAACAGACAAAGUCACCAAAAUGUCACCAUGCAAUGCUCUUUAAGCAAGGGUAGGUGCAUUUAAUACUUAACCCAUCCAGUGGCUGCCUUGUCCUGCUUUUCCUUCUGGAAACACACUUUCUAGUCAUGUUGGUGAAGCUUUUUUCUGCCUCAGGUGGGCAACAGUGAAGUCCUAGAGGGCAAAAAAAUCCACCAACCCUCACAACAGAAUUGAAGCUCCUUCUCAACCCAUUAUAAUGUGUUAAAGAAAUCUUACAGCUUUUAUUUCUCUGUUUUGCUUUGGGGAUAUCAGGAGCAUUAAGAGACACACUCUUGUAUCCUCUCCCAGACCUUCUGGGCUUGCUUGCUGCUUAACUAUGCUUCCAAAAGCUGUCCGUGGUUACAGAAACAAAUGUGCAAACUGCACAUGGCAAAGUUGAAUAAAAUGUGAAGUUUCUUACUUCAGAAGUGGAUGCUGCCUUGACUACUUACUGUAAGUGUUUGGAUGAUGGGACAAACCCAGUGCCUUCAUCAGCAUCUUCUGAAGCCCAGGCCCAGGCUCUGCAGGGGGACAGGCCUCUUUGUCACGAUGCACCUCUUGGUGCCCUCUCAGUACCCUGGGUGUUGACCUUCACACAGACUGAAACAUCUCCUCAGUGAUGUUUUGGAUUUCAGGGCCUUUCCUGAGUGGUAUGUUGCUGAAGAGUGGAGUCUGGAGAGAGACAGGCUUUGUUCUUCUCUUGCAAGCUGAGCUCUCCUCCCAUUUCCCGUCACAGAUCCCUUUGCAGGAUAUGUUUUUAUUGCACCCUCGCUCUCUUCGGUUCAUGCAGAGUUGUUCAUUUCCUGACUGUAUGUGACCAUAUGCGUGGCUGUUGUUAGUGGUGUAAAUCCUCAGCCUUCAGCUGAACCAAAAAACCAAAAAUCAGCUUGUGGUGUUUGAUGUGCCGUGCUAAUGGGACAGGGCUGGUUUGAGACUUCUGAUUUGCACAAAACCAAACACUUCAUCUGUGCCUCUAGGAAAUAACAAUAAUUCAUUAACAUCACAACCCUGUGUUUCUUUUUAAACACAGAUGGUAUUUGAUGCAGAGCUCUAGGUUGGUUCUGCAAAAGUAUUUUUUGUUCCUUUUCUUUAAAAGAUAAUGUGUCUCCUUGAUUCUUUUUUCUACUCAAGCAGCUAAGGUUGCUCUGAUAUCAGCUACAGGGGUGAGACAUAAUGUGGAUGGCUGUGAAAUCCCCCUUGACAGCUACAGCCAAAGUGAAAAUAGCUUACAAACAACAAACAGAAAUCUUUCCUCACAUACAGACUGCUUCUGUUUUGUAAUUGUCACUGAUAAACCCAAACACUUCAAACAGAUAUAGGGCUUUUGAGAGACAGAAAUUCUUCCCUAGAAUCUUUCAAAAUUUGUAAUGUAAAAAGCCAUAUCCCCUGGAGAAUACAACCAAGAGAGCGAUCCGAAAAAGAGUUGCCCUAUCAAAGGUCAAUGAAAUCCAAAAUAACAGUCUGUGGAGGCAGACAGUCUGCAGGGUUUGCCCUCCCCCCUCAUCCCCCGGUCUCCAUUGUUGGCUGGGGAAUGGUGGGGUGUGUUUGUGUGAAAGUGGAGAGAAUGGGGGAAAAACACCAUUGCCAAAGGAGAAGAGCUCUGAGGAAACCUGGCAGGGAUUUUCUUCCCAUUAGUCCUAAUUCCUGUGAUGUAUGGCCAAAGUGGGUACAGAAAACAGAAGGAAACAUGCUGAUAGUAAGGGUAUUUUUCUAGAAGUGCUGGGAAUAGUUAAUGUGUCUUGCUUUUUGUGGUCUCACAUCCUGUUAAGGUUAGUGGAAAUGAAGAAUUGAGAAUGGCAUCCAAGAGGUGGUAAUCUCUGGAGGUGAAUCCUGGUUAUGAGAGGAACAGCCAGGUGGGGGAGGUGUCUCAGUCACUGCAGGAACCUGGACGAGUAAAUUAGUUUAGAUGCCUAACUUUCAAGCAGCUGCAGUUCACUGAGAUGAAUCUUAGUCUUUCUUUCAGCCAAAGGCUAAUACUCCAGCCUACUGAAUUUUGUGCAGGGAGCCCCAGCUACCUCUGAAUUAAGUGAAACCAUGCACAACAAAGCCAAGAUGUCAGUGUUCUCAUUAAGAUUUGGCUAAAAGUGAUGGGACACCUAGGCACUUAACUGCAUCUAUUUUAGCACAAAGCUUUAGAUGUUUUUAUCCUGCUUGAGCAAUCCCUGCAGAAUCAGCUUUUCUGGAACGUGAAACUCUAUUGGACUGUGUAAACAAACCACAUUCAGCUGAAUGCAAAGCCUCACUACACUUUCAAUUUCUGUAAAUUAUGCAAGGAUAUAAAUGAUGAGUACAUCAGUGAGCUAGACCAGAGGCUGAUUCAUUCAUGUAUUGAUUCAUGCAUGGUUUAUCUUCAUGCCUUGCAGAAAAAGAACAAUUAAAAUGGUUACACUAAGCUAUAAAACUUGAAAAUGGUGUUGGAGGGGGAAGCGUGGUCUUCUGCUUGAAGACUGGCAGAUGAAACCAUAGGUUGCGUAUUAACCGUCUUCUAAUUUGCAUCCCUUUAAAUGUUUCUCAGUUGUGUGUAACCAAACUGGGAAAAAUAAUUAGCUUGAAAUCUAGAGGAAGUUCAGUUCAUAUUUUAUUCCUUUAGUGUCAUGUGUUUGUUCAAUACCCUUUCUUCUUCUUGCCUCAAAAAUAAAAAAUAAAAAAGAAGAAAAAAAGAAAAAGCUAUUUAUGUUUUUAAAUCUUUGUGACAGCAGAAAUAAUAAUGGUAAGAAUUAAUUCUUGUGAUUUGGGAGUGUGAUCAAGCAAUAUUUAGUAUAAAUUUGCAUUAGAGGUUGUUGAUGAGCAAGCGAGAAAACCAGGGAAAGAGGACAUUCAAGUUUCCAAAAAGCAAGAACAAAAAAGAAAGGACAAAGAAAAUAAAUCUAUCCCUUGCAAUGGAUGUAGGAAUGACACGAUUUUCUUCAGUGUGUGGGUGAGUAAACCAUAAUUCUGCACUCUCAUUAUCUGUGGUGAUAAAAUGUUGUCAUUAUAGAAAGAGUAAUUAUUAUUAUUAUUAUUUUAUCUUCAGAAGCCUUCAAGAAACAAAAUAUAUCACAUCAACGGACUGUAUAUAACAGGCAAUUUCUGGAAUCACAAACUGUUUAUCUGUAAGCUUAAACAUAAAUAAAGUCAAUUUACACAAAAGCAAGCCAUGUAAUGGAUCUGCUCCUGAUUCUUUCAGCUUCUAUUUUCAUUAGCUAAUGCAGACACUGAGAAAACUGUAUGUUGUUUGUCAUUAAGCAUGCUUUAGUCAUCUGCCACUUUUGUGUUUUUUUGAUUGGCUGCUGCUAAGGGAAAGGAAAGCUCUGUGGUGGUUGUACGUAAGAAAAAUAACUCCAACACUGUGCUGUGGAAAGCUAUGCUUUCAUAUAGCUUCACCUUCACCACCCCCAUGUUAUUAAGUUCUUUUCUUUGGUGGAAUAGUUUUAAGCACAGCAUUAGCAAUACCUACUUUUAUGUACAGAGUUUUGAAUUCAUAGGUUGACUGUCAGCGUAACUCUCUACACCUGGGGUGUUGUGAAGGUAUAGUGGCUGUUCAAAUUGCAUGCAACAGAUUUCACAAAAUUUGACUGCCAAAACUGAUUCAAACACACAAUUUUAUUUUCAAAGGCAACAGACAGGUAAAGCCAGGUUUAAAAUAUUAAUGCUUUCCCCACCCAUCCUUUCUUGUUUGUUUGUUUUAUCUGAUUACAGAUGAGAACACAAGGCUGAACUUGAUUCAGAGUUGCACAGGGAACUCUGACUCCUUGCAGCCCUCAGCAGCAAGGCAGGCUCACAAAUGCCAGCCUUUGUUGACGUUUGAAAUGGAAGCCUCUCAUGCCAGUUGAAGUAUAAAAAAUCUUUCUAAAAAGCCCUAAGGAACUUUUCAAAAUGCUGCCUAUCCACUCUCCAUGCCUGUACAAAUUUUUGAUAGACAAGGAACACAUAACGUCUUUUCACCAAGCUCAGCAAACAGUGUAUAAACAGUCUAUAUGCCAAGAGUUGGUUCUGUUUUAUCACUCUCAGGAAAUGUAAAAAUGACACAGUGGCAGCAUUUCCUCUCUCUGCAGCAUGGCUCUGCAAAAACACUUGAAAACCAUCACUUUGCCUUUUAAUGACAUAAUGCAAAGUAUAUACCUGCCAAAAGAACAGAUAAGGUCAAGUAAGAACAUACCCCUUCCAUGCUUAGCCUUUUCCCUCAACUUUCAGAGGAAAAUCAACUCAAUUCUGUAGUGAACAGUUUUGCAAAUUUCCCAUAUGAGAGAAAAAAAAUAAAAUGCCUAAGAAGCAGAAAAUCGAAGCGUUAAACCUUUGAUCCUGGAUUUGAAGCUAAUCUAUGCAAUUAGCAGUGCUUUUUGUCACAAAAGGAAGAGUCGCAGGAAGAAAGGAUGGCAUAGAGUGCAAAGAAGAAAUCCGGGGAAAAACUGAGAAAAUGAUGCUUCAAUCAUCUUCACAGCCACACAAAUUUUUCCUAAAGAGUAAACAAAGAAGAUGAAAAAAUAUGAGAGAAAGAAGAAGAACAGCAUCAAGCAAACUCCAAACAAUUCUGAACAAUUUCCUCCAGGUUGUCUCACCGUAGGCAAAAUUUAACGCUAUCACAUCAGGGAAGCAAUGUUCAAAGGAGGGGUUCUCAGUGUGCAAGAGCCAUUAUAGGGAUGUGAAUUUGAUUUCCAGCUGUAUACUUUGUUUAUUAACUUCUUCCUAUCUUGACAGGUUGCUUACAUCUCCAGGAGAGUAUUCAGUGGCUAUUUGUUAAUGCAGAUUCCCAUAAGAAUGAAGAACUUCUUAGACCUGGCAGACCCAGUGCAUGGAUUAAGUGCUGUCAGAUAAGGAGGUAGUUUAAUGCAUCUUCUCUGAUGGAGCAGAAACAUCCACAUGAAGUGAAGCACCUUUGUGAUUAUCCAUAGGGGAUGACUCUUUCCACAGGAGUAUCCAUUCAAAUGAUACCUCUUCCAGUCAACAGAUUUCAACACAUGGAAAUCUGAGACCAGCAUUUUUAUAUUUAUGACAUGGAAAAGCUCAUUGGAAGUGGUCCCAACAUCUCCUCAAUGUAGAACGUUGUCUUUUGAAUGCUGGAGAAGUAAAAGUGGAUUCUGUAGAGGCAUUUACCGUUAUUCAUACUUGAGACUGAUGAGGACAGCUAGAAUCUCCACUCUGCAGUACCUCUGACUAAAAAGAGAAAGAUAAACAAGAGAAAAUUGGUGUCCCAUCAAGUUCUGAUGUAUGCAGCAGACCUGAUAAGAGAUGAGAAAUGCCACUCCUGGGAUCUCCAUGGGUUAUUUUUAUGCACAACUGUUCAAUGACAGCCAGUCGCAGAGGCUGGAAAGCAGUUUUAUUGUUCUGGUGGGGCAGCUGCUAUUCCUCAUCCACCAGCAGAGUAGAAAGGGACGCACCUGCCAUUGUGUGACAGAUUGAAAUUAAAUUUCUUGCAAUUUUCAGACUGCGUUGAUGUGAAAAGGGGCCAUCUUCAGAGGAUAAAGAGACCACUGAAAGGAAAGAAAUAGGAAAGAGUAGAUGACCUCCUGGCCUCUGAGGCAGAUGCUGAAGUAAGAAGUAGGGCCACACAAGAGAGCACGCAGGAACUGUAGAGAAUAAAUUGUUCUCCAAGAGUAGCAGCAAAGCAUGAGAUAGCUCAAGUUUGCUGCUUUUGUCUCAUCUCAAGAACCUUUCAUAGAGCUUCAUCCUGGGGGGUGAGAGCAUUCUGCCUCCUGGUGAGGGAGUAGGAUGUCAUCUCCAUGACUUACCAGUAAGGAAAAAUGUCUGCAAUACUUUGCGUUCCCAGAGCCAAUCUCUGGGAACAUUCAGUUUUGCUUUAAAUUCAGUCUCUCUCCUCUGCUCAAGGAACAUAAAGUAAUUAUGAUUUUUAUAUUUCAUGCUCCAGUCUGCGUCUGCAUAGUGGUCCCGGGCUGCCUUCUGUCAUCAAGGUCUUUGGCCUGAAAAGGUCUUUCUGUGAGAAUGGCUGGUCGGCUGGAAGCAUCUAUCAAGUUCUUUUUGUUCACCUUAGACCCUCAUUCUUCCUACUGCUAUAAUUCUUCUUUUUCACUUCUGCCCUUAUCCUUUAACGUAUCAUUUUUGCUCAGAAGAAAGCAUCAAAAUAUCACUCUUAUGUAGACUCAAGACUCAGCAAACAGGAUGGAAAGAAAAAGAACUUAAAUCAUAUUGCUUUUAAAACAAAGCAACAAAACCAACUACACAUAAUAGUUCUCAAGCAUCCUCAUUGUCAGUUUUGGUUCCGCUUUGCUAUCAUGCUUACACCGGCUUUACAGACAGUCACAUAUUUAAGCAGAUUCAUAAAAGAACCACAAAGUCAUACAGGAAAGUAAAUAACUUGAUUAAAAAAGCCUAAGUUCAUAACAGCUAUUAAGAUGUUUAGCAGAAAUGUACCAUGUAGCUUUAUGCUGAAAACCUUGACUUAUUCAUUUAACUGGCUAAAAGAGAAGAAACUGAACUUAUAUAAACUGCUCUGUUUAAAUUUGGAUAUGGUCACGUAAAAUAGUGUGUUUGGAUUCUACUGCAUGUGAUGAGCUAAAAUUAUAUUGCCCAGUGGUUAGCUUGUGUCUUAGCUUGUCUGUCUGUAAACAAGCCUGAGCUUCAUUUUCCUUUAUGAAAUAGAUCAUCACAUCUCAUUAUUAUCUGGAUUUUGAAUAUUGACAAUAAUUUUGUUUUCAGCCAUCAAUAGCUGUAUGUAAUAGCAUGUCUUGUGUGGGUAUGCCAGACAAAUGACAUUACUUAGUAACUUUUUAUGUACUGUCUGGUGUAAUCUAAGAAUAACAGCUUGAGUCUAAGCAGAUUCUGAACAGUGACAUAUUACCCAGAUACAUUGAAUAGGGCUACGUGAAGGACUGAUCCUUCAUUUUAAGUACUAAAUAUGAUUGAGAACAGGCUCUGAAGAGUCACGUGCAGUAUCUGAAGGUGAAUCUUCUCCCUUCAAGGAGAACUUCCUAACUAAUGCAGUAUAGAUGCCCGUGGGGUUGAUUUUUUCUCAUUCUCUCUCAGAUAGAGUAAUUUUUACCACUAAAAAAAAAUGUGUGAAUUCACUGGAAAGCACUGGUGCCUCUUCCCAGAAAAUUAGACAACUCGAUGAGUGACAGGUUACAAAGAGAAUUUAAAUGCUGUGCUACUGCUUUAUAGAUUUUAGGCAAGAUUUUCCCUUGCUCCUUGGGAUGUCUCAUUUCAUUACUGGGUUGCUGAAGAAGUGACAGACCAAGUUGAUUGUACCAGCCCAAAUUAGACAUCCUGCUAUCCUAUAUUGCCAUCAGAGAUCUGCCCAGAGGUAGAGGUGCCUCCGAAGGCUGAUUCCAAGUCGUGAAGUGAGUAGUGCUCACCUACCAAAUUGGGCAACUAACUCCCUCUGUGCACAUACAGCCCAAACUGACUGCCAGACCAUUGGAAACUGCAUAUGCAGUGACACAUCUGUAUGGGUGAUAGAUGGACAGGCCCACAAUGUUUCCCUUGGUCUGUUCUAGAAAUACUGUAAAGGAGCGUUGUUGAAGGACGCUCUUUAGAGAAACAAUGCAGUGGCUGAGGCAUGUGUGGAGGCAGGAGAUCUUGCAGUCUGCUUUUAACCAAGAUUUUUUGGAGGCAGUCAUGUUCUAGUAGAGACCACUUAGUCAUAUGUGUAUCUUAUCUCUUAUAACCCACUUAACAGAGCAUCCCUACAGAACUUACGCUGCUGUACACAAAUCCCAUUCUUUCCUCUCAGCCUCAAAGAUAUCGCCAUUAUUGCUACUUUCCCUACUUCCACCCAGUGAAGAAUCCCCCAAAAGAGCACAUAAAAGUACUCAGAAUAAGAAGGGUUCAGUGACUCUGGGAAACAGCAAGGAUUUCUCCAACAAAUGUCUACAAUCUGUGGACAAUGUGGAGUUGUAGAAUUGAUGCUCAGGAACAGGAGACCAGCACUGAAUAGCAUGCGAACCAUUUGGAGAUGCAGGAUGUAUUGCCAGAGAAGAUAAAGGAUUAACUCAGUGUUAUAUUUUCCCUCUUCUCUAGAAGCAUUCUAAAAAGCCUCAUGGUUCCCUGUCUUGUUAAAGCCAUUCCAGAAUGCAACUCUUGGAUGUCACGGAUACCUGCAUUUCUGUCAAAUCUCUGCCAUUACAGAGUGUUCUGAAGUAAUAUCAUAUGUAAAUGGAUAAUGUCAUUAUGACAAAAUGCUUGAAAUGAGAGUUCUUCUAAGAAUAUGGAAUUGCCACAUAUAUGGCAGACAAAAUUUUUCCUCACUUUGUUCAUGUCCCCCAUGGUUGAGGGAAGGACAGUCAGCAGAUUUACUGAUACAAAUAGGAAUUUUACUUUUGUUUUGCAACUCAUUCUUUGUGCUUAUUCUUUAUGAAUAUGCAGUAGACCCUUGAGUGUGCAAAAGGUGCCUCUGAUAUCUCCAAAAUCAACAUGUAUACAUUGGGCCUUUCCUUCGUGAGUCAUAGUAAACUGCUGGAAGGAAGCUAUCUCAUUCUACAGUUAUAGACAUUCUCCCAUAAUGGAGUUUUCCCCUUUGGAUUACAUUAGAUAUUUCAGUACAUGCAUCAGAUGAGUGAAAGGAAGUUCAUAAGAGUAGCCUGGAAGC